GGGGCUAUAGCUCAGUUGGGAGAGCGCUUGCAUGGCAUGCAAGAGGUCGCCGGUUCGAGCCCGGCUAGCUCCA
rnacentral:tRNA from 1 species